CUCUGUUUUAGACAUUGACAGUUUUUGAACAUUUGUGGAGCAGAGGUGCACCAUGGCUUGCCACAAUGUCACAAUGGGUUCUUGGAGAGCCGCUGCUGUUGACUUGCUGCAUGUCUCCUCUCUGCGGCAAAACUCCACAAAUACUCCACUCACCAAGUUCCAGAGGGAGAGGAUCACCAGCCACCACCGGCCGUACUAAAGGAAGUGGCUCUAUGUAGGGAUGGAACAUAGCAACUACACCAGCUGGGACACACCUAGCCAACUGAAAGUCAAGCCAAUAGUCCCUGAAUGUUGCCAAGGAGACACACUGCACCACCAAGCCAAGCCAAGCAAGCCACAAUGCAACACAA